AUUGAACGCUGGCGGCAGGCUUAACACAUGCAAGUCGAGCGAGCGGCGGACGGGUGAGUAAUGUCUGGGAAACUGCCUGACGGAGGGGGAUAACUACUGGAAAGGGUAGCUAAUACCGCAUACCGUUAGAGGUGCCGAUAUGGGAUUAGCUAGUGGGUGGGGUAAUGGCUCUCCAAGGCGACGAUCCCUAGCUGGUCUGAGAGGAUGAACCGCGUAACGGGAACUGAGGAACGGUCCAGAGUCCUACGGGCGGAAGCAGUGGGGAAUAUUGCACAAUGGGGGCAAGCCUGAUGCAGCCAUGCCGCGUGUGUGAAGAAGGCCUUCGGGUUGUAAAGCACUUACAGCGAGGAGGCGUUACUGGCAGAAGAAGCACCGGCUAACUACGUGCCAGCAGCCGCGGUAAUUC
rnacentral:rRNA from 1 species